UACAGAGGUCCCAAGCGUUGUUCGGAUUCACUGGGCGUAAAGCGUGCGUAGGUGGUUUGUUAAGUCCGUUGUGAAAGCCCUGGGCUCAACCUGGGAAUGGCAGUGGAUACUGGCGAGCUAGAGUGCGGUAGAGGGUAGUGGAAUUCCCGGUGUAGCAGUGAAAUGCGUAGAGAUCGGGAGGAACACCAGUGGCGAAGGCAGCCCCCCUGGGCCCAAUACUGACGCUCAUGCACGAAAGCGUGGGGAUCGAAACAGG
rnacentral:rRNA from 1 species